rnacentral:rRNA from 1 species
AAUUAACUCUUUCUUCGUGCCUAAUACAUGCAAGUCGAGCGAACGGACGAGAAGCUUGCUUCUCUGAUGUUAGCGGCGGACGGGUGAGUAACACGUGGAUAACCUACCUAUAAGACUGGGAUAACUUCGGGAAACCGGAGCUAAUACCGGAUAAUAUUUUGAACCGCAUGGUUCAAAAGUGAAAGACGGUCUUGCUGUCACUUAUAGAUGGAUCCGCGCUGCAUUAGCUAGUUGGUAAGGUAACGGCUUACCAAGGCAACGAUGCAUAGCCGACCUGAGAGGGUGAUCGGCCACACUGGAACUGAGACACGGUCCAGACUCCUACGGGAGGCAGCAGUAGGGAAUCUUCCGCAAAGGGCGAAAGCCUGACGGAGCAACGCCGCGUGAGUGAUGAAGGUCUUCGGAUCGUAAAACUCUGUUAUUAGGGAAGAACAUAUGUGUAAGUAACUGUGCACAUCUUGACGGUACCUAAUCAGAAAGCCACGGCUAACUACGUG